rnacentral:rRNA from 1 species
GCCUGUCUCAGUUCGGAUUGGAGUCUGCAACCCGACUCCAUGAAGCUGGAUUCGCUAGUAAUCGCGCAUCAGCCACGGCGCGGUGAAUACGUUCCCGGGUCUUGUACACACCGCCCGUCACACCAUGGGAGUUGGGAAUGCCCGAAGCCGGUGACCUAACCGAAAGGGAGGAGCCGUCGAAGGCAGGCUUGAUAACUGGGGUGAAGUCGUAACAAGGUAUC